rnacentral:misc_RNA from 1 species
GAUGAAGAACGUAGCGAAAUGCGAUAAGUAAUGUGAAUUGCAGAAUUCAGUGAAUCAUCGAAUCUUUGAACGCACAUUGCGCCCCCUGGUAUUCCGGGGGGCAUGCCUGUUCGAGCGUCAUUUCACCACUCAAGCCUCGCUUGGUAUUGGGCAACGCGGUCCGCCGCGUGCCUCAAAUCGACCGGCUGGGUCUUCUGUCCCCUAAGCGUUGUUGAAACUUUCGCUAAAGGGUGUUCGGGAGGCUACGCCGUAAAACAACCCCAUUUCUAAGGUUGACCUCGGAUCAGGUAGGGAUACCCGCUGAACUUAAGCAUAUCAAUAAGCGGAGGA